CGCUGGCGGCGUGCCUAAUACAUGCAAGUGGAACGCAUGAUUGAUACCGUAGCUUGCUACACCAUUAAUCAUGAGUCGCGAACGGGUGAGUAACGCGUAGGUAACCUGCCUACUAGCGGGGGAUAACUAUUGGAAACGAUAGCUAAUACCGCAUAAGAGUUUUUAACACAUGUUAGAAAUUUAAAAGGAGCAAAUGCUUCACUAGUAGAUGGACCUGCGUUGUAUUAGCUAGUUGGUAAGGUAACGGCUUACCAAGGCGACGAUACAUAGCCGACCUGAGAGGGUGAUCGGCCACACUGGGACUGAGACACGGCCCAGACUCCUACGGGAGGCAGCAGUAGGGAAUCUUCGGCAAUGGGGGGAACCCUGACCGAGCAACGCCGCGUGAAGUGAAGAAGGUUUUCGGAUCGUAAAGCUCUGUUGUAAGAGAAGAACGUUGAGUAGAGUGGAAAGUUACUCAAGUGACGGUAUCUUACCAGAAAGGGACGGCUAACUACGUGCCAGCCGCGGC
rnacentral:rRNA from 1 species